CCCGUGCCAUCCCAACGCUGACACUCGGAAACGCCGCUGGCGUGGGCACUCACCGCACCCACGCGCAGAGCGCACGGGACUCUCGAUACUCGCCCCUAACCCAGCGCCUCCGCAGAAUCCCCCAAAGCUCCGCACGCCAAGAAGGCUGAAGGCUGUCAGACGGAGUUAGCUAAAGGAAAGCCACUGACUUUCCAGCGCCGGGGGUUGGAUUUCAUCUCGCUGGACCACGGAGUCCUUACCCUCAGCGAAACUCAGCGGUGAAAAGAAGUACUUGUUGUUUUGAAUGUGUCGAGCCACGUGGAUGGGGUCAUCCAGAAGGAAUUCUGAGUCGGUGGCUCUGGGGAUGUUAAGAUUGGCAGUCUCCAGACCGAACUGUUUUUAUGUUGGUCACGUGAAGCCCAGGAAACAAGCUGGAUUUUUGUCUGUUCACACAAACUGUUAACCAUUGUCACCCUGGGCAAGAAAGGAAGGGAAAUUGUAUACCAUCCUUGGGAUUUAGGGGUCUUCCCCCCCCCCACGAUUUUAUUCAUAACUCGGAAAGCUAAUAGAACAUUUUAAAAGAAGCAAAUCAGAAGUUAGGUCUGUGUCCUGGCUCGGCUGCAGGCCGCUGUUUUGAUACAUAAAUACUGUGAGGAGCUGGACUCCCUGCUGUCAGAUGCCAAUGUUUCCCCUUACAUGCGCUCUUCCGUAGCCACAGCUUUCAAGGAUUUGCUAGCCAAGGAGUUUUCAGUAAAGUCAGCUGGCAAGCAGCAGGGAAAUAAAGCUUCAGGCUUCCACAGCUGCCAAAAGCUGCCCAGGCCCUGAAGUUUGAAAAAAAGAAGAGAUGGAAAGCAUUGUCUCCGUGGUGCCACCGAGUGCAGCCGUAAGUGCCGGCCAGCUUCCACAGUGACUCUGGGGAAGCAGCUCCAUGCUGAAUUCCACACCCACUCUUAGGCUAUGACUGGGAUUCAUCAUCCAUAGGCAGAGAUACACGUUCAGCAAAUGUGCUGUCCCACAUAGGUGCAGAGCACACGAAGUACCGGGCAUCAAACAUGACACUUUCUAUUGGAGCUCACAGUUGUGUCCCCGCUCCCAGGUGCUUAAUUAUUAAAUGUACUAAAACUAAUUUUGAUACGGACCUAAA